rnacentral:rRNA from 1 species
GACGAACGCUGGCGGCGUGCUUAAUACAUGCAAGUCGAGCGAGGUUACUGUUUCGGAUCCCUUCGGGGUGAAGAAGCUUUAACCUAGCGGCGGACGGGUGAGUAACGCGUGGGUAACCUACCCCAAAGUCCGGGAUAACAGCGGGAAACCGCUGCUAAUACCGGAUGCCUUUACCUUGGGGCAUCUUGAGGUAAAGAAAGGUAACGCUUUGGGAUGGGCCCGCGUCCCAUUAGCUAGUUGGUGAGGUAACGGCUCACCAAGGCGACGAUGGGUAGCCGGCCUGAGAGGGUGGACGGCCACACUGGGACUGAGACACGGCCCAGACUCCUACGGGAGGCAGCAGUAGGGAAUAUUGCGCAAUGGACGGAAGUCUGACGCAGCGACGCCGCGUGAGCGAUGAAGGUCUUCGGAUCGUAAAGCUCUGUCCUUGGGGAAGAAGGUCUUCGGACUUGACGGUACCCAAGAAGAAAGCCCCGGCUAACUACGUGCCAGCAGCCGCGGUAAGGCUACGUAGA